rnacentral:rRNA from 1 species
CCUACGGGAGGCAGCAGUGAGGAAUAUUGGUCAAUGGCCGGAAGGCUGAACCAGCCAUGCCGCGUGAAGGUCAGUGCCCUAUGGGCGUUACACUUCUUUUGUGCGGGAGCAAUAAUGGUCACGUGUGGCCAGACGAGAGUACCGUACGAAUAAGCAUCGGCUAACUCCGUGCCAGCAGCCGCGGUAAUACGGGGGAUGCAAGCGUUAUCCGGAUUAAUGGGUUUUAAGGGGUGCGGAGGCUGUGAUGUAAGUCAGCGGUGCAAUGCCCCCGCUCAACGGGGUGAAGUGCCCUUGAUACUGCCUUGCUGGAAUGCGGAUGCCGUGGGAGGAAUGUGUGGGGUAGCGGUGAAAUGCAUAGAUAUCACACAGAACACCGAUUGCGAAGGCAUCUCACGAAUCCGCGAUUGACGCUGAUGCACGAAAGCGUGGGUAUCAAACAGGAUUAGAUACCCUGGUAGUC